UCAACUUGAACCAAAGAUUAUGAAACCCGCGGUAGUAAUUAUUAUAAUAUUAUUCUCUUUGUAUGAAACCAAUAAUCAACAUCCAACACAAUCAACGGUAGCAGCAUGUACCUAUUAAUUUGUUUGGGUAGCAGUUGUGACUUGUGAUUGUCAGUUAUUUUCUGUUGUUUUCAAAUUGAGAACUGAGAAGGCCUGCUUUAUGCGACGAGAGUAAAGAUCUUGUGAAUAUUAAUCGACUGUGGAUAUAUCUUGGAUAUUAUAUUACACCUACUGAUCAUAUUUGCCAUGCAUGCUGGCAACUUGCGUAUCAUGCAUCUACUGAAAAUAUGUCCAGCAGCAGCAGCGGUUGGCCAUAAUAAUAUCUGUGUUGUAUCAUGUGGAUUAUCCAUAGUAAUAGCAAAUCGAUGCAGAAUUUUAAUUGAAGGGACAAAUGAAGAACAACAAAGAGUGGCUUCUAUAGUAUCUUCUUGGAUUCAAGCACGAGAGCUUUGGUCUCAAGAUGAAGAACCAGAAUAGUCCAAGUAAUUGAGGACUUUCAACCUGAAUAUAUGGAAUCAGCUUUAAUGUGUACUGUAUGUGGCCAGUCUGGACACCACAACUUCAGACUUAGAGUGGAAUCCUGAAAACAUUACUCGUUUGCUGGAGCAACAAGAGAUGUCAUCUAUGAAUGAAGUUUCUGGAGUUUGUUGGAACCAAGCUCGAGACAUAAGGUCAGAUAUUCCAGAAGCUGAUGAAAGAUCCCAACAAAAUAUAGUGUUGUUCAAUAUAAGAAGAGCAGCUGAAACACCAGGACAUUGUGUUUUUCAAGAAUGCAUGAAUCCUGGGCAAAAUGUUGUGCCUCGAGUUGCCUGUGCCU